GAUGAACGCUGGCCGCGUGCCUAAUACAUGCAAGUCGAGCGAACGGACGAGAAGCUUGCUUCUCUGAUGUUAGCGGCGGACGGGUGAGUAACACGUGGAUAACCUACCUAUAAGACUGGGAUAACUUCGGGAAACCGGAGCUAAUACCGGAUGAUAUUUUGAACCGCAUGGUUCAAAAGUGAAAGACGGUCUUGCUGUCACUUAUAGAUGGAUCCGCGCCGCAUUAGCUAGUUGGUAAGGUAACGGCUUACCAAGGCAACGAUGCAUAGCCGACCUGAGAGGGUGAUCGGCCACACUGGAACUGAGACACGGUCCAGACUCCUACGGGAGGCAGCAGUAGGGAAUCUUCCGCAAUGGGCGAAAGCCUGACGGAGCAACGCCGCGUGAGUGAUGAAGGUCUUCGGAUCGUAAAACUCUGUUAUUAGGGAAGAACAUAUGUGUAAGUAACUGUGCACAUCUUGACGGUACCUAAUCAGAAAGCCACGGCUAACUACGUG
rnacentral:rRNA from 1 species